AUACCAAAUGUGGCCGAAUGGAGGCACGCUGCCUGCUGCUUCGGGGAGGGGGAUGCUUGAUUUCGAAGGAGAGGGACAGCCUGCACAAAACAGCCUGUGGUCGGAGUCAGAGGAGCCUGCUCCAGAAUGCGCGCUCCCUCUCCUGCUCUCCUCCUGCAAACACAGGUAGGAGAAGCCACUACAGAGAACCAGCGGGUAAAUACACACACCUGACAUUCCUGACAGCGUCCUCCACCCCUGCAACUGAAAGGCAACCACACAUCUAGAAAUAAGCUAUGAAACUAAUAUAUAAAAAAAAUGUGUUGCAUUGAAAAAUUAAAAGAUAUGCAAACAUCUUGUAUCUCACUAAAAAUAAAAACCACACAUGCUAAAUGGGACGUAUAU
ensembl:antisense Gm27151 predicted gene 27151